CUCCUUUAUAUGAAGCAUUCCCAAAAUGUCUUAAUGUUACCCUAAGAAGUGGAUUUCAGUUCAGUGGAUGAGGAAGAGGAGGAGAAAAGUGACUUGCCCUCCUGAAAGUUUAGCCCCAGACCCACAGUGGCCUUAGAACCUGAAGCUGUAAUCCCACAGUCUCAGGAAUACACCCAUAUCCAACAGCCAUAGAAGAACUAAUGGUCCCACUGGAGGCUCAGUCCCUGGCUUUCAUGGCAUUGAGGAAAGAAGCCACUCUUCUGGCAAGGUUUGAGAGAUGGGCCAUCCUGCAAAUGCAGUCAGCAUAUUCUUUUGGGACAUCCACUAAGGUACGUGUAUAAGUAUUUUUUUCUUGCUUUCCUUAACCCUGUUUUGUCCCAGAUCAAAAAUACUGACCCUGAGACUUGCUUCCCCUAUUGGGUCAGCUGCCCUGCUUCCUCAUCUUGUUUGCUGAUGCAGUUUUAGUCUGUUUUUCUAGGAAGAGUUGGCUCCUCUCCUUGAGGAAUUGGGGCCUCUAAGAGGAGUAACCCUAUGUUUGCAGCCAGAUGUCUGGCCACAUCUUCCAGCUAGG
rnacentral:lncRNA from 10 species